GUCAAAUCAUCAUGCCCCUUAUGACCUGGGCUACACACGUGCUACAAUGGACGGUACAAACGGUUGCCAACCCGCGAGGGGGAGCUAAUCCGAUAAAACCGUUCUCAGUUCGGAUCGGGGUCUGCAACUCGACCCCGUGAAGUCGGAGUCGCUAGUAAUCGCAGAUCAGCAACGCUGCGGUGAAUACGUUCCCGGGCCUU
rnacentral:rRNA from 1 species